UACGUAGGUGGCGAGCGUUGUCGGGAUUUACUGGGCGUAAAGGGAGCGUAGGCGGACUUUUAAGUGAGAUGUGAAAUACUCGGGCUCAACUUGAGUGCUGCAUUUCAAACUGGAAGUCUAGAGUGCAGGAGAGGAGAAUGGAAUUCCUAGUGUAGCGGUGAAAUGCGUAGAGAUUAGGAAGAACACCAGUGGCGAAGGCGAUUCUCUGGACUGUAACUGACGCUGAGGCUCGAAAGCGUGGGGAGCAAACAGG
rnacentral:rRNA from 1 species